rnacentral:rRNA from 1 species
UACGUAGGGUGCAAGCGUUAAUCGGAAUUACUGGGCGUAAAGCGUGCGCAGGCGGUUUGCUAAGACCGGUGUGAAAUCCCCGGGCUUAACCUGGGAACUGCGCUUGUUACUGGCAAGCUAGAGUGUGGCAGAGGGGGGUGGAAUUCCAGGUGUAGCAGUGAAAUGCGUAGAUAUCUGGAGGAACACCGAUGGCGAAGGCAGCCCCCUGGGCUAACACUGACGCUCAUGCACGAAAGCGUGGGGAGCAAACAGG